GAUGAACGCUAGCUACAGGCUUAACACAUGCAAGUCGAGGGGCAGCACAGUGUAGCAAUACAUGGGUGGCGACCGGCGCACGGGUGCGUAACGCGUAUCCAACCUUCCCGUUACUCUUGGAUAGCCUUCCGAAAGGGAGAUUAAUACAAGAUGGUAUUCAAAUUCCGCAUGUUAUUUGAAUUAAAGAUUAAUCGGUAACGGAUGGGGAUGCGUGACAUUAGAUAGUAGGCGGGGUAACGGCCCACCUAGUCUACGAUGUCUAGGGGUUCUGAGAGGAAGGUCCCCCANACUGGAACUGAGACACGGUCCAGACUCCUACGGGAGGCAGCAGUGAGGAAUAUUGGUCAAUGGUCGGAAGACUGAACCAGCCAAGUAGCGUGAAGGAUGAAGGUUCUAUGGAUUGUAAACUUCUUUUAUACGGGAAUAAAACACCUUACGUGUAGGGUCUUGUAUGUACCGUAUGAAUAAGCAUCGGCUAACUCCGUG
rnacentral:rRNA from 1 species